rnacentral:rRNA from 1 species
UGGAGGCAGCAGUGGGGAAUUGUUCGCAAUGGGCGAAAGCCUGACGACGCAACGCCGCGUGGAGGAUGAAGGUCUUCGGAUUGUAAACUCCUGUUGAUCGGGAAGAACUCCCCUGGGGAUAACACCCUCAGGGGUUGACGGUACCGGUUGAGGAAGCCCCGGCUAACUCUGUGCCAGCAGCCGCGGUAAUACAGAGGGGGCGAGCGUUGUUCGGAAUUACUGGGCGUAAAGGGCGCGUAGGCGGCCGACUAAGUCAGACGUGAAAUCCCCAGGCUCAACCUGGGAACUGCGUCUGAUACUGGACGGCUCGAAUCCGGGAGAGGGAUGUGGAAUUCCAGGUGUAGCGGUGAAAUGCGUAGAUAUCUGGGGGAACACCGGUGGCGAAGGCGGCAUCCUGGACCGGCAUUGACGCUGAGGGCGCGAAAGCCAGGGGAGCAAACGGGAUUAGAAACCCCUGUAGUCCC